rnacentral:rRNA from 1 species
CCUACGGGAGGCAGCAGUGAGGAAUAUUGGUCAAUGGACGCAAGUCUGAACCAGCCAUGCCGCGUGCAGGAAGACGGCUCUAUGAGUUGUAAACUGCUUUUGUACGAGGGUAAACGCAGAUACGCGUAUCUGUCUGAAAGUAUCGUACGAAUAAUGAUCGGCUAACUCCGUGCCAGCCGCCGCGGUAAUACGGAGGAUUCAAGCGUUAUCCGGAUUUAUUGGGUUUAAGGGGUGCGUAGGCGGUCGGAUAAGUUAGAGGUGAAAUCCCGAGUCUCAACUUCGUAAUUGCCUCUGAUACGGUUCGGCUAGAUAGUAGUUGCGGUAGGCGGAAGGUAUGGUGUAGCGGUGAACGGCUUAGAGAUCAUACAGAACACCGAUUGCGAAGGCAGCUUACCAAGCUACUUCGGACGUGGAGGCACGAAAGCGUGGGGAGCAAACAGGAUGAGAUACCCGGGUAGUC